rnacentral:misc_RNA from 1 species
GAAAUCUUCAAAGAAAUGGGAGAGCAAAAGGUGGAAGAAUCACCCGCUAAAAAUGAAGCCGAGAAGAAGCCGGCAGCAGCACCUGCUCCAGCUCCGGCCCCCGCGGCGGUGCCGGUUGCCACGGACGGCGGAGCAAUCACCGCCAUAUACAAAAUCGACAUGCAUUGUGAAGGAUGUGCAAAGAAGAUUAAACGAGCUGUCCGACAUGUCAAAGAUGUGGAGAGUGUGAAGGCGGAUUGUGGGGCGAAUAAGUUAACUGUGAUUGGGAAAAUGGACGUUGUUGCUGUGAAACAGAAAUUAGAGCUUAAAACCAAGAAGAAAGUGGAGAUUAUUUCCCCUCAGCCCAAGAAGGAUGCCGUCGCCGCCGCUCCCGCCGCCGAGAAGAAGGCUGAGGAGAAGAAGCCUGAAGAGAAAAAAGCUCCUGAAGAGAAACCCAAAGAGAGCACCGUCGUUUUGAAGAUCCGGCUACAUUGUGAAGGUUGCAUUCAAAAAAUCCGCAAAAUCAUCUCGAAAAUCAAUGGAGUUCAAUCGGUGAAUUUUGACGGAGUCAAAGAUUUGGUUACGAUUAAAGGAACAAUGGAUGUGAAGCAACUUGAGCCAUAUCUCAAAGACAAACUCAAAAGAAGCGUCGAAAUUGUUCCACCCAAGAAGGAAGAGCCAGCCGGAGAAAAGAAAAAAGAAGAAUCCCCUGCUCCCGCCGCCGCCGCCGUCGCUGGUGGCGGUGAAAAGAAGAAGGAAGAAGCCGGUGGCGGUGGUGAGAAAAAGGAAAAGGAAGGCGGUGGGGGCGAAAAGAAAGAAAAAGAAGGCGGUGGGGAUGAAAAGAAAGAAAAGGAAGGCGGUGGAGGUGAGAAGAAAGAGGUUGAAUCGAAACCGGCACCACCGCCUGCCGCCGAGGGCGGCGGGGCUAAGCCGGCGGAUGUAGUGAACAAGUUGGAAUAUUACGGCGGGUAUCCGUACCAACCACUAUACUACGAGGCACCGAUGCAGUACCAUAGCUACUCAAUGGAAGCUAACCCGAGUUACUAUAACCCCAACUAUGGUUACAAUAACCAUGGUUACACAGACCAUAGAUACGACGUCGUUCCGAUGGACCACCACUUCCCUAACCACAUGCAACCGGAUCAGCCGCAGAUGUUCAGCGAUGAGAAUCCCAACGCCUGUUCCAUCAUGUAAGAUACCGAUCAACGGCUGAGGUUUCAUCUUGAG